rnacentral:rRNA from 1 species
UGGGGAAUCUUGCACAAUGGGCGAAAGCCUGAUGCAGCGACGCCGCGUGCGGGAUGAAGGCCUUCGGGUUGUAAACCGCUUUCAGCAGGGACGAGGCCGCAAGGUGACGGUACCUGCAGAAGAAGCCCCGGCUAACUACGUGCCAGCAGCCGCGGUAAUACGUAGGGGGCAAGCGUUAUCCGGUUUCAUUGGGCGUAAAGGGUGCGUAGGUGGUCUUUCAAGUCGGUGGUUAAAGGCUACGGCUCAACCGUAGUUAGCCUCCGAAACUGGAAGACUUGAGUGCAGGAGAGGAAAGUGGAAUUCCCAGUGUAGCGGUGAAAUGCGUAGAUAUUGGGAGGAACACCAGUAGCGAAGGCGGCUUUCUGGACUGCAACUGACACUGAGGCACGAAAGCGUGGGUAGCAAACAGG